rnacentral:lncRNA from 1 species
UUGUAAUUUCCUUUCUAACAAAGUUACCGUGAGACCCGGCCCUUCUGGCCACAUUCCCCUGUUUAACGAGAAAGAACGCUAUUUCAUACUCUUUGUUGAGUUAGCUUGCGUUUGCCGAAGAUUUCGGUGUUUGUUCGAGGCUUUUCGGAGAAUCAUACCAUCUAAAGCCGUUUGGAGAAAUUUUUGUCUGACCGAGAAUCCGGUGUCAGACGUUUUCGUGCGCGGCGUUUCGAUUUUCCAUUCUUCAAGCUUUUAUCCACUUCCUUUAGACGAGCUUGAUUAG